AAUUGUCUGGGAAGGAUUAGAUGGUAUGGCCUUAUCAGAGGAGGUGUAUCACCGGGGGUGACUUUUGAAGUUUCAAAAGCCUGUUUCAUUCCCAAUUAACGCUCUCUGUCUCUUGUUUGUAGAUCAAGAUGUAAGCUCUUGGCUAUGCUCCAGCACCAUGCCUGUCUGCCUGCUGCCAUGCUCCCUACCAUGCUGGUUAUGGACUCUAAUCUUCUGAAAUUGAAAGAAAAUCCUAAAGGCAGAGAAGACAGCUCAUCAGUAAAUUUUCCAAUUUUGUGGAGUACAGGUAUUUGAAGUAUGACCUGCUGAUUCUCUGGAUAUCCUCGUUAUGAGAGGAGCUCCUCCCUUUUCCCCCAUUUCCCGCUUCAAAUCACUUGUGUCUACUGGGAAGAGGAACAGUGAUUGUCAACAAAAGAGUCAAGAGCACAUAAUGGGGAAAGGAAAGUCUUGUCCAUAAAUGAUAAUGAGAAAACUGGAUGUUCACAAGA